rnacentral:rRNA from 1 species
AUGCCGGUAUGAGUAGCGAAAGACAGGUGAGAAUCCUGUCCACCGUAUGACUAAGGUUUCCUGGGGAAGGCUCGUCCGCCCAGGGUUAGUCGGGACCUAAGCCGAGGCCGAUAGGCGUAGGCGAUGGACAACAGGUUGAUAUUCCUGUACCAGUUGUUUUUGUUUGAGCAAUGGAGGGACGCAGUAGGCUAAGGAAUGCAUGCGAUUGGAAGUGCAUGUCCAAGCAAUGAGUCUUGAGUAGAGUUAAAUGCUUUACUCUCUAAGGACAAGUUGUGACGGGGAGCGAAAUAAUAGUAGCGAAGUUCCUGAUGUCACACUGCCAAGAAAAGCUUCUAGUGAGAAAACAACUGCCCGUACCGUAAACCGACACAGGUAGUCGAGGAGAGUAUCCUAAGGUGAGCGAGCGAACUCUCGUUAAGGAACUCGGCAAAAUGACCCCGUAAC